AACGCGUGGAUAAUCUACCUAUGAGAUGGGGAUAACUAUUAGAAAUAGUAGCUAAUACCGAAUAAGGUCAAUUGAGAUGUUAAUUGAUGAAAGGAAGCCUUUAAAGCUUCGCUUGUAGAUGAGUCUGCGUCUUAUUAGCUAGUUGGUAGGGUAAGAGCCUACCAAGGCUAUGAUAAGUAACCGGCCUGAGAGGGUGAACGGUCACACUGGAACUGAGAUACGGUCCAGACUCCUACGGGAGGCAGCAGCUAAGAAUCUUCCGCAAUGGGCGAAAGCCUGACGGAGCGACACUGCGUGAACGAAGAAGGUCGAAAGAUUGUAAAGUUCUUUUAUAAAUGAGGAAUAAGCUUUGUAGGAAAUGACAAGGUGAUGACGUUAAUUUAUGAAUAAGCCCCGGCUAAUUACGUGCCAGCAGCCGCGGUAAUACGUAAGGGGCGAGCGUUGUUCGGGAUUAUUGGGCGUAAAGGGUGAGUAGGCGGAUAUGUAAGUCUAUGCGUAAAAUACCACAGCUCAACUGUGGAACUAUGCUGGAAACUGCAUGACUAGAGUCUGAUAGGGGAAGUUAGAAUUCCUGGUGUAAGGGUGGAAUCUGUUGAUAUCA
rnacentral:rRNA from 1 species